AGAGUUUGAUCCUGGCUCAGGACGAACGCUGGCGGCGCGCCUAACACAUGCAAGUCGAACGAGAGAGAGGGAGCUUGCUUCCUCAAUCGAGUGGCGAACGGGUGAGUAACGCGUGAGGAACCUGCCUCAAAGAGGGGGACAACAGUUGGAAACGGCUGCUAAUACCGCAUAAGCCCACAGCUCGGCAUCGAGCAGAGGGAAAAGGAGCAAUCCGCUUUGAGAUGGCCUCGCGUCCGAUUAGCUAGUUGGUGAGGUAAUGGCCCACCAAGGCGACGAUCGGUAGCCGGACUGAGAGGUUGAACGGCCACAUUGGGACUGAGACACGGCCCAGACUCCUACGGGAGCA
rnacentral:rRNA from 1 species